UGGGGAAUAUUGCACAAUGGGGGAAACCCUGAUGCAGCGACGCCGCGUGAACGAAGAAGGUAUUCGUAUCGUAAAGUUCUGUCCUAUGGGAAGAUAAUGACAGUACCAUAGAAGAAAGCUCCGGCUAAAUACGUGCCAGCAGCCGCGGUAAUACGUAUGGAGCGAGCGUUGUCCGGAAUUAUUGGGCGUAAAGGGUACGCAGGCGGUUCAAUAAGUCGAAUGUUAAAGAUCGGGGCUCAACCCCGCAAAGCAUUGGAAACUGAUAAACUUGUGUAGUGGAGAGGAAAGUGGAAUUCCUAGUGUAGUGGUGAAAUACGUAGAUAUUAGGAGGAAUACCAGUAGCGAAGGCGACUUUCUGGACACAAACUGACGCUGAGGUACGAAAGCGUGGGGAGCAAACAGG
rnacentral:rRNA from 1 species